rnacentral:tRNA from 1 species
GAGGGUAUAGCUCAGUGGUUGAGCACGUGCUUAGCAUGCACGAGAUCCUGGGUUCAGUCCCCAGUACCUCCA